AACGAACGCUGGCGGCAGGCUUAACACAUGCAAGUCGAGCGCCCCGCAAGGGGAGCGGCAGACGGGUGAGUAACGCGUGGGAAUCUACCCAUCUCUACGGAAUAACGCAUGGAAACGUGUGCUAAUACCGUAUACGUCCUUUGGGAGAAAGAUUUAUCGGAGAUGGAUGAGCCCGCGUUGGAUUAGCUAGUUGGUGGGGUAAAGGCCUACCAAGGCGACGAUCCAUAGCUGGUCUGAGAGGAUGAUCAGCCACACUGGGACUGAGACACGGCCCAGACUCCUACGUGAGGCAGCGGUGUGGAAUAUUGGACAAUGGGCGCAAGCCUGAUCCAGCCAUGCCGCGUGAGUGAUGAAGGCCCUAGGGUUGUAAAGCUCUUUCACCGGUGAAGAUAAUGACGGUAACCGGAGAAGAAGCCCCGGCUAACUUCGUGCCAGCCGCCGCCGUAAUAC
rnacentral:rRNA from 1 species